GGAGUUUGGGCCGUGUCUCAGUCCCAAUGUGGCCGGUCACCCUCUCAGGUCGGCUACGGAUCAUCACCUUGGUAGGCCGUUACCCUGCCAACUAGUUAAUCCGACGCGGGCCCAUCCUGCACCGAUAAAUCUUUCCACCCUCUGCCAUGCGGCAGCGUGUGCAUAUGCGGUAUUAACAGCCGUUUCCAGCUGUUAUCCCCCUGUGCAGGGCAGGUUACCCACGUGUUACUCACCCAUCCGCCGCUAAGAUAAAGAAAGUAUCCGAAGAAUCUCUCUAUAUCUCCGCUCGACUUGCAUGUGUUAGGCACGCCGCCAGCGUUCAUC
rnacentral:rRNA from 1 species